GGAGAGGUGGCAGAGUGGUCGAUUGCGCUCGCUUGGAAAGCGUGUGUGCGUCAAAAGCGCACCGAGGGUUCGAAUCCCUCCCUCUCCG
rnacentral:tRNA from 1 species